UAGGGAAUCUUCCGCAAUGGACGCAAGUCUGACGGAGCAACGCCGCGUGAGUGAAGAAGGAUUUCGGUUCGUAAAACUCUGUUGUUAGAGAAGAACAGCGCAUAGAGUAACUGUUAUGCGUGUGACGGUAUCUAACCAGAAAGCCACGGCUAACUACGUGCCAGCAGCCGCGGUAAUACGUAGGUGGCAAGCGUUGUCCGGAUUUAUUGGGCGUAAAGCGAGCGCAGGCGGUUAGAUAAGUCUGAAGUUAAAGGCAGUGGCUCAACCAUUGUAGGCUUUGGAAACUGUUUAACUUGAGUGCAGAAGGGGAGAGUGGAAUUCCAUGUGUAGCGGUGAAAUGCGUAGAUAUAUGGAGGAACACCGGUGGCGAAAGCGGCUCUCUGGUCUGUAACUGCCGCUGAGGCUCGAAAGCGUGGGGAGCGAACAGG
rnacentral:rRNA from 1 species